UCUUAUUAUUCUGCUGUAAAGAAUGAAAUCCUGUCAUUGGUGGCAUCAUGGAUGAACCGGAGGACUUUGUGUUAAACGAAAUAAGCCAAGAACAGAA